CCCAGGCUCUGUAUGAAGUUAUUUGGCAUCAGCUGACAGGCAUCCCAAACUGUAACACACCCUGAGAUCCCCCACAAUAUCCAGCCCUGCAGAUUAGGAAUAGGGUGUCUGUUUGGAGGUAGAAGUGCUCUCAUCAUGCCACUGUAAUCUGGCCAUUUUCCUGCUCCAUAAAUUUCACAAAUAUUACCUCUGAUGCCACCACCCAAUUGGGAACAGCUCCAUCUGAUGCAGCUGUCUCCCUUCCUUUGUCAAGAGAUGGACAUAGUGCUUCAGUGGAAGGUGGCAUUUCUUGAAGGAAGCACUCCAUCUUUGAUGCCAGCCCCUGCUGCCGGAAAGAAGGCAAAGCCAGACACGGGCACAGGCACAGCAGACUGGGAUGCUGGGAAGGAUUCUCCAUUAGCCUGGCGCUCUGAAGUUGUGAAGCCCUCUGAGCAUUCUGCAGGCGUGUCUGCAGGGACGACCUCACCAACUCCUACCUUGGAUGCUGCACAAAAGCCCAGCUCCCAUCACAGGGGU